rnacentral:rRNA from 10 species
UUACCACUUUGUGAUUCAUGACUGGGGUGAAGUCGUAACAAGGUAACCGUAGGGGAACCUGCGGUUGGAUCACCUCCUUACCUGAAAGAA